UACGUAGGGGGCAAGCGUUGUCCGGAUUUAUUGGGCGUAAAGAGCUCGUAGGCGGUCUGUCGCGUCGGAUGUGAAAACCCAGGGCUCAACCCUGGGCCUGCAUUCGAUACGGGCAGACUAGAGUGCGGUAGGGGAGAUUGGAAUUCCCGGUGUAGCGGUGGAAUGCGCAGAUAUCAGGAGGAACACCGAUGGCGAAGGCAGAUCUCUGGGCCGUAACUGACGCUGAGGAGCGAAAGCGUGGGGAGCGAACAGG
rnacentral:rRNA from 1 species